rnacentral:rRNA from 1 species
UUGGAGGGCAAGUCUGGUGCCCGCAGCCGCGGUAAUUCCAGCUCCAAUAGCGUAUAUUAAAGUUGUUGCAGUUAAAAAGCUCGUAGUUGAAUUUCGGGAUUGACGUGAUGGUCAUGCCUUAAGGGGUAUGAACUGUCACAGUUGAUUUCUCACCUUCUGGAGAAACUUGAUGUCCCUUAUUGGGUGUCUUGCGGAUCCAGGACCUUUACCUUGAAAAAAUUAGAGUGUUUAAAGCAGGCAUUCUUGCUCGAAUACAUUAGCAUGGAAUAAUAGAAUAGGACGGCAUGGUUCUAUUUUGUUGGUUUCUAGGAUCACCGUAAUGAUUAAUAGGGAUAGUUGGGGGCAUUAGUAUUCAAUUGUCAGAGGUGAAAUUCUUGGAUUUAUUGAAGACUAACUACUACGAAAGCAUUUGCCAAGGAUGUUUUCAUUAAUCAAGAACGAAAGUUAGGGGAUCGAAGACGAUCAGAUACCGUCGUAGUCUUAACCAUAAACUAUGCCGACUAGGAAUCAGACGAUGUUAAUUUUUUAAUGACUCGUUUGGCACCUUACGGGAAACCAAAGUGUUUGGGUUC